AUCAGCCUUUUGGGUGUGAUUUUGUGGAGCGUGAAGAGUUAAACGCCUUCAUGCCUGCAUAUUCGUGCACUUUGGGUGUACUUGCCCGUAUGGUUGGUUAACAUCAAUUUUGGUGGUCAUAAAAUGACUGGAGGAAUGUAGCUUCGAUCUCGUAUUGAAGUGUUAUAGCCUUCGGUAGAUGUGAUGAUCGAGAUUGAGGAUUGCAACGGAUACCCUUCGGGGCUACCUGUCUGAUCUCUGAUCGUUGCUCUGGUGCCGAAAGCUUGCUUACGGUUAUCAAAGUCGAUGGUCAAUAGGUUAGAACGGGUUAAAUUCGUUAAGGAUGUUGACGUAAUGGCUUU
rnacentral:rRNA from 1 species